rnacentral:tRNA from 1 species
GCAGUCGUGGCCGAGUGGUUGAGGCGAUGGACUAGAAUUCCAUUGGGGUCUCCCCGCACAGGUUCGAAUCCCGUCGACUGCG